rnacentral:rRNA from 1 species
AUGGGUUUAAGAUAUGGUUCAGAGAAUCUAUCAAUUGGGGUCUCCUUCGUCCCAUUUCCUUCGCCUGGUGAGGUACCCUACGGUGCAUGGUUGGCUGGGAGAAAACGAAAUUUAAGUGCAGGCAUACAAUACAAACCGCUAGGUGGAAGCAAGCAUCCUAUGCCUUUUACAGACUUGAAGAACUGGAAUUUUGCAAUCGGUUAUGGUCUGGGCUCAACUAGCCCACUCAGCGCUUCAUUUACUUUUGCACUAGAGCUCAUUAGAAGGUCACAGCUGGUUGCAUCAUUCUAUCAGUACCAUAUUUCUAGGAAGGAACUAAAGUAUCGGGGUGAACCUGAUAUUGUUGGAACUUUAAACUACAUUGAUCUUGGACUUGAGCUAGCCACAAGGGUGGAUAAAGACAAACCAACAGAUGAUGUUGGCAAUUCCUCGUUUCAGGUAGCUGAAUUG